rnacentral:rRNA from 1 species
AUGGCCGAAUCAAAAAGAGCUAAGGGAUUUCUCCCGAGUUCUAGUGUCGUGGACAACCUAUCUAUCCUUUCUAAGCUCAUAAACAAUGAUGCUACAGAAAGACCCACCAGGAUCACUAAUGAGAAUUUAGAUGAUUUUGAUGAUGAUGACUUCGGAAUCUUUCGCUAUUUACUUGAUGAAUCUUUAAAAGAUGCUUGGGAUAGGUUAUUAAGGGUUCGGGCUAGCUAUGUGCCACAAUAUCAAAUCGAUGUUUACCUAAAAAGUUCUAUGUUGGCUUGCCCGCCUCUUUCAAACAAGUUCUAG